GGAUGUGAGGGUGAUCUGGCUGUGACAUGUGUCACCUCAUCGAUCACCAGGGUUGAUUCAGCUGACCUUGCUGGCAAGGUGGGCGUCCCUUUCUUCCCUCACCACUCAGUGUCCUUCCUGAAAGCUGCUAGAACCUCCAAACAAGCUCUCAAGUAUUCACUACCUUUGUUUUUAAUAUAAUUUACUUAAUUGCAGGUAUAUAUAUAUAUAUAUAUAUAUAUAUAUAUAAUUU
rnacentral:snRNA from 1 species